rnacentral:rRNA from 1 species
UACGUAGGGGGCUAGCGUUGUCCGGAAUCAUUGGGCGUAAAGCGCGUGUAGGCGGUUCGGUAAGUCCGCUGUGAAAGUCGGGGGCUCAACCCUCGGAUGCCGGUGGAUACUGUCGGACUAGAGUACGGAAGAGGCGAGUGGAAUUCCUGGUGUAGCGGUGAAAUGCGCAGAUAUCAGGAGGAACACCAAUUGCGAAGGCAGCUCGCUGGGACGUUACUGACGCUGAGAACGCGAAAGCGUGGGGAGCAAACAGG